rnacentral:rRNA from 1 species
GAGGGAAAGGUGAAAAGAACCCCGGAAGGGGAGUGAAAUAGAACCUGAAACCGUGUGCCUACAACCGAUCGGAGCACGUUAAAGUGUGACGAUGUGCUUUUUGUAGAACGAGCCAGCGAGUUACGCUAUGUAGCAAGGUUAAGUACUUAAGGUAUGGAGCCGAAGGGAAACCGAGUCUGAAAAGGGCGAAAAGUUGCAUGGUGUAGACCCGAAACCGGGUGACCUAUCCAUGGCCAGGUUGAAGCGAGAGUAAAAUCUCGUGGAGGACCGAACCACGUUGGUGUUGAAAAACCAUGGGAUGAGCUGUGGAUAGCGGAGAAAUUCCAAUCGAACUCGGAGAUAGCUGGUUCUCCUCGAAAUAGCUUUAGGGCUAGCGUCGUGUAAUUGAGUAAUGGAGGUAGAGCACUGAAUGGGCUAGGGGCUAUAGUAGUUACCGAACCCUAUCAAACUCCGAAUGCCAUAUACUUGUAUCACGGCAGUCAGACUGCGAAUGAUAAGAUCCGUAGUCAAAAGGGAAACAGCCCAGACCAUCAGCUAAGGUCCCAAAGUGUAAGUUAAGUGGAAAAGGAUGUGGGAUUUCUAAGACAACUAGGAUGUUGGCUUAGAAGCAGCCACUCAUUUAAAGAGUGCGUAAUAGCUCACUAGUCAAGAGAUCCUGCGCCGAAGAUGUCCGGGGCUCAAACUUACCACCGAAGCUAUGGGUGUACACUAUGUGUACGCGGUAGAGGAGCUUUCUGUAUGGGUUGAAGUCGUACCGUAAGGAGCGGUGGACUGUACAGAAGUGAGAAUGCUGGCAUAAGUAGCGAGAAAUAAGUGAGAAUCUUAUUGGCCGAAAACCUAAGGUUUCCUGAGGAAGGUUCGUCCGCUCAGGGUUAGUCGGGACCUAAGCCGAGGCCGAAAGGCGUAGGUGAUGGACAAUCGGUUGAUAUUCCGAUACCGCCUAUUUACGUUUGAGAAAUGGGGUGACGCAGUAGGAUAAGAUGUGCGCACUAUUGGAUGUGCGUCUAAGCACUUAGGCAUGCUUGAUAGGCAAAUCCGUCGAGCUAAGCUGAGGUGUGAUGGGGAGCCAUUUAUGGCGAAGUAUCUGAUUCCACACUGCCAAGAAAAGCCUCUAUCGAGUGAAUAGGUGCCCGUACCGCAAACCGACACAGGUAGGUGAGGAGAGAAUCCUAAGGCCAUCGGAAGAAUUGCUGUUAAGGAACUCGGCAAAUUGACCCCGUAACUUCGGGAGAAGGGGUGCCUACGAAAGUAGGCCGCAGAGAAUAGGCCCAAGCAACUGUUUAGCAAAAACACAGGUCUCUGCUAAAGCGAAAGCUGAUGUAUAGGGGCUGACGCCUGCCCGGUGCUGGAAGGUUAAGGGGAACACUUAGCGUAAGCGAAGGUGUGAACUUAAGCCCCAGUAAACGGCGGCCGUAACUAUAACGGUCCUAAGGUAGCGAAAUUCCUUGUCGGGUAAGUUCCGACCCGCACGAAUGGCGUAAUGAUUUGGGCACUGUCUCAACAGCAAAUCCGGCGAAAUUGUAGUGCAAGUGAAGAUGCUUGCUACCCGCGAUUGGACGGAAAGACCCCGUAGAGCUUUACUGUAGCUUAGCAUUGAAUCUCGGUAUUGUCUGUACAGGAUAGGUGGGAGACUUGGAA